UACAGAGGUCUCAAGCGUUGUUCGGAUUCAUUGGGCGUAAAGGGUGCGUAGGCGGCGCGGUAAGUCGGGUGUGAAAUCUCGGGGCUUAACUCCGAAACUGCAUUCGAUACUGCCGUGCUUGAGGACUGGAGAGGAGACUGGAAUUUACGGUGUAGCGGUGAAAUGCGUAGAUAUCAGGAAGAACGCCCGUGGCGAAGGCAGCUCUCUGGGACGGUACUGACGCUGAGACGCGAAAGCGUGGGGAGCGAACAGG
rnacentral:rRNA from 1 species